GAAGAAGAAGAAGAAAAAGAAAAAGAAAAAGAAAGCGGAAGUCUCGUUGUUUGACUGGGAUGUGUGGCUGGCGGCGGGAUAGCUGUGCUGUUUGUUAUUAGUGAGUUUGAAGAAGACAGAGCUCCAGAAUCCAGAGGGAGUCCAGCAGCCCCAGUGGAGAUCUGCUGGAUCUCAGGACCAGAGAGGAAUGGAGGAGGACAACCAGAUCCAGGAGCAGCGGAGCACCGAGGUCCCCAGAAGACCAGCAGCAGACUGGGACUCUGAUAGCAGCCAUGUUCAGUGAGGAUAACACAUGGGAGCCACAAGACAACCUGGACUGCCCCGACCUUAUCGCCGAGUACAUGCAGAAACACAAGGAGAAGGAGGAGAAGAAGAAG